AUUGAACGCUGGCGGCAUGCUUUACACAUGCAAGUCGAACGGCAGCGGGGAGGAGCUUGCUUCUCUGCCGGCGAGUGGCGAACGGGUGAGUAAUACAUCGGAACGUGUCGAGAAGAGGGGGAUAACCACCCGAAAGGGUGGCUAAUACCGCAUAAAUUCUGAGGAAGAAAGCUGGGGACCUAGGAAUAGGCCUAGCGCUUUUUGAGCGGCCGAUGUCGGAUUAGCUAGUUGGUGAGGUAAAGGCUCACCAAGGCGAAGAUCUGUAGCGGGUCUGAGAGGAUGAUCCGCCACACUGGGACUGAGACACGGCCCAGACUCCUACGGGAGGCAGCAGUGGGGAAUUUUGGACAAUGGGGGCAACCCUGAUCCAGCCAUGCCGCGUGUAUGAAGAAGGCCUUAGGGUUGUAAAGUACUUUUGUUAGGGAAGAAAAGUCAGCUGUGAAUAAUGGCUGAUACUGACGGUACCUAAAGAAUAAGCACCGGCUAACUACGUGCCAGCAGCCGCGGUAAUACGUAGGGUGCGAGCGUUAAUCGGAAUUAUUGGGCGUAAAGCGAGUGUAGACGGUUAUUUAAGCCAGAUGUGAAAUACCCGAGCCUAACUUGGGAGGUGCAUAUGGAACUGGGUAGCUAGAGUGUGUCAGAGGGAGGUAGAACUCCACGUGUAGCAGUGAAAUGCGUAGAGAUGUGGAAGAAUACCGAUGGCGAAGGCAGCCUCCUGGGAUAACACUGACGUUGAGGCUCGAAAGCGUGGGGAGCAAACAGG
rnacentral:rRNA from 1 species